rnacentral:rRNA from 1 species
CCUACGGGUGGCUGCAGUGGGGAAUAUUGCACAAUGGGGGAAACCCUGAUGCAGCGACGCCGCGUGAGUGAAGAAGGAAUUCGUUAUGUAAAGCUCUUUCAGCAGGGAAGAAAAUGACGGUACCUGAGUAAGAAGCCCCGUCUAACUACGUGCCAGCAGCCGCGGUAAUACGUAGGGGGCAAGCGGUAUCCGGAUUUACUGGGUGUAAAGGGAGUGGAGACGGCAGUGCAAGUAUGGAGUGAAAGGCGGGGGCUCAACCCCCGGACUGCUCUGGAAACUGGACGGCUGGAGUGCAGGAGAGGUAAGUGGAAUUCCGAGUGUAGCGGUGAAAUGCGUAGAUAUUAGGAGGAACACCGGUGGCGAAGGCGGCUUACUGGACUGUAACUGACGUUGAGGCUCGAAAGCGUGGGGAGCAAACAGGAUUAGAUACCCGGGUAGUC